CUGACAGCUCGCGACUCGGCUGAUCUUUUAAAAAAAUCAGCCGGCGAAAGCGUAGCAGCGCCCUCAAAUAAAUAAAGAAGAGAAAACGUGGACACACUGUUUGCCAACGAGAUAACCCGCCGAGCCGCCCGAAGGCGGCAGGCGGCGCGUGCCGUACCCGCACAAGCAAAUCGAACAAAUUAAAAAAAAGGAGGCACUCAUCAACGGGGGCGGGACGAGCGGGGUGAUGGGCCGACCGACGGCGACGGUGCAGGCCGGGGAGCGAGCCGGGCGAGUCGCGUUGUGCGCGGCAGGUGGGGGACCCCGACCCCGGCGCCGCAGCAGUACAACCAGCACAACCAUAGAGAGCAGACUCAAACAGGGUAGAGAAGCCACGCGGAAGUUUCGUUCCGGGGAGUCAAAGCCAAGCCACGCUUCGCUCACACGCGCGCACGCACGCACGCACAGGCAGCGCUCUCCCCCUCUCUCCCUCUCUCCACAUCGCAUCGGCGCGGCGGGCCUGGCCUUUACUCUCUCCUCCCGCCCUCCCCCUCACACGCUUUGCCUUUGCCCACGAAAAGGACAACCAACCCGGAGCGACGCAGCCAGGCAGGGGUGAAGAGAAGAGAGAAGGAAAAAAAAGGCAUAGGCAUCAUUCCCAGCAUCGGGUUCUACGGAGGAGGUGCCGGUGUGGACAUCUGAUCCAUUUGGAGGGUAUUGACCGCUUCAGAGCUAGAGCUCCUCUGGCCUGUGGGCGGCUGCUGGAUUGGUCAAUAUAAUAGGCUCUCUAGUCUUAGAGAUGAUGCCAUUGUGAGCACAAGAUGGAUUCCGCGAGAAGUUGGUUCCAGAAGUUCCAGCCGCGGGACAAGUCCAAGAGCCCGGCGGUGCCUGCCAGCCAUGGGAAGGAUCCCGGGAAGCCCCCGGUCGACGACGCGCCUUCUAGCGCGACCAAGCAGAAGGUCGCCGCGGCAAAACAGUACAUUGAGAACCACUACAAGACUCAGAUGAAGUCCUUGCAAGAUAGGAAAGAGAGGCGCUGGAUGCUGGAGAGGAAAUUACAGGAUGCUGAAGUUCCUGCAGAAGAGCAGAACAACAUUCUAAAACAUUUGGAGAAAAAGGAGACUGAAUAUAUGCGUUUGCAAAGACACAAGAUGGGGGUUGAAGAUUUUGAACUUUUGACAAUUAUUGGAAGAGGUGCAUUUGGAGAGGUGCGUCUUUGUAGAGAGAAGACCUCUAAAAGCGUAUAUGCAAUGAAAAAGCUUAAGAAAUCUGAAAUGCUUCGUAGGGGCCAGGUGGAACACGUCAAAGCCGAAAGAAACCUUCUUGCAGAAGUCGAUAGUGCGUACAUAGUAAAGCUUUACUAUUCUUUUCAAGAUGAUGAGUUCUUGUAUCUCAUCAUGGAGUACCUUCCUGGUGGUGACAUGAUGACUUUGCUCAUGCGCAAGGACACUCUGACAGAAGAUGAAGCAAAAUUUUACAUCGCAGAAACUGUACUAGCAAUAGAGUCCAUUCACAAGCACAAUUACAUUCACAGGGAUAUCAAGCCAGAUAAUUUAUUGUUAGAUCUCAGUGGUCACUUGAAGCUUUCUGACUUUGGAUUGUGCAAACCUUUGGAUAGCAGUAAUUUUCCAAAUUUGAAUGAACCGGAUUAUACACCUGGAAAAGGUGCUAAACCUUUACCCGAUAACACCAGUCGAUUAACUAACUCUUCUGCACCGAAGCGUACGCAGCAGGAGCAGCUGUCACAUUGGCAAAAGAACCGUCGGAUGUUGGCGUAUUCUACAGUUGGUACUCCUGAUUACAUUGCUCCAGAGGUUCUAUUGAAGAAAGGAUAUGGAAUGGAGUGUGACUGGUGGUCCCUUGGUGCUAUCAUGUAUGAAAUGCUAGUUGGUUAUCCCCCAUUUUAUUCGGAGGAUCCAAUGUCAACCUGCAGAAAGAUUGUGAACUGGAGAAGUCACCUGAAAUUUCCUGAAGAGGCAAAGCUUUCUUCUGAAACUAAGGAUCUCAUUAGCAAACUUCUCUGUAAUGUUGAGCAGAGACUUGGAACAAAAGGAGCCCAUGAAAUAAAAGCACAUACAUGGUUUAGAGGUGUCCAAUGGGAAAAGUUGUAUCAGAUGAAAGCUGCUUUCAUACCAGAAGUUAAUGGCGAGUUGGAUACUCAGAACUUUGAGAAAUUUGAGGAGACUGGAGCACAAGUUCAGAGUUCAUCUAAGGCGGGUCCAUGGAGAAAGAUGCUUCCAUCCAAGGAUGCAAAUUUUGUUGGGUACACGUACAAGAACUUUGAAAUUGUGAAUGACGAUGAAGUUGCCGGGAUUGCCGAGCUGAAGAAAAAGAGCUCCAAAUCAAAACGGCCAACCAUCAAGACAUUGUUUGAGAGCAUGGAUGAAGAUGAACCUGUGCACGGCAGUUUCUUAAAUAUGUUGCCCCAUAAGGAGGGACAACCUUCUUCUCACUCAAGCGCCCCACCAGAACAAUACCAACCUCGACGUAAAUAGGAUAUGGAGGUUUUAAAAAGUAAACCACAGAAAAGUAAAAGAGAGGAAAAAAAAAACUGUUGCCUUUUGGUCUUGGUGUUACCCCGUCCAGCUUUUGUAAAUCCUAACCGAUGCUUUCUUUUUAGUGAAUUUGUUAAAACAAAAUCCAUCCCCUGUCUCCAAAAUAGUAUGGUGUUUGAUGUUAGCAGUGAUGCCUGUUUGGUUCGCCGUAUGUUGGUUUGACAGUCUCGGCGAUGGGUCCCCGGCUAUUACUGGCUACAGCAUAAGUGUAUACUGUUACCAGCUCUGACGAGCAUGUGUAUUACAAUUGAAUUCACCUCUGCUUUUCUGAACCUUUUGAAGAGGUUUUUAUAGCUCACAGUAAAACUGACUGAUAUGGUUAUCAAGAUCUUGACAGGCAAUGAUGAUUUGUGGGUUACGUUUGUUCUGGUUUUGCCUUACUGAAACCCUAUUGCAAUCAUCUCAGCCGGUUUGCUUUAAUGCUUCUAUGUGC
rnacentral:rRNA from 1 species